UAUAAUUUAUUACAGAUUGUUGCCUGGAUAAUAAUAUAGCUGCCCUCUGAGUCCAUUACUGUACUGUUUAAAGUGAAUGGAAUUCUCUUAUGGACUAGAAUGGAGACCCCUCUUUGUCUGCUGUUAUAACAAGAUGAAAAGAUAAUACUAUAAUUCGAGUCUGAUAAACAUUUUUCUUCCGACUGUGUUAAAUGCGUUUCUUGGAGGAGCAAAAUAUCUGCUUUUAAUUUAGAGACAUAGUCCAUGAUUUUAACUCUUUUUGUUUGUGAGCGUAUGCCAUGAACAUUCCAGGCUACGAUAUUAAACUUGAACAUAGAGAGAAAAGAUGUUGUGUCACUGAGUAUGUAGCAAUAUAAUAUAACAUUUGUGUGUAUCCUUGUGAGCUGUCUGUUGCUGUCUGUGAGCUGUGAGUGUUGGAGAGAGAUGCAUACAGCAGGUCAGGAUCUAUAUAUACAUUAUAUAAUAGCACAUCAUUGCCUGAAAAACUAUCAACAAACACAUUAUAAAACAUACAAGCACAAUAAACAUGGGGGGUACAUAGGGUGUGAGUGAGAGUGUGGGGGGUGAGUGUGUGAGAGGGGGAGAGGGCUAAAGGGAGACAUAUAGAGAGGGAGAGAGAGAAAAGUAGAAGGAGGAGGGGGUUCUCCAGUGGGGAGUGUAGGUUAGGAGAGUGAGACAUUUACACCUGUGAGAUUUUUUUUUUGAUAACACUUUCUAGCAUAAAUGACUAAGUGAUAUAUUAAACGUUUAAGCCAGUUUUUUUUUUUUUUUUUUUUUUGUUUGUUUUUUUUUGGAAGAGCCAGGGGGUAUCAUUUCAAAGCACGUUAACCACUGACAAUAUUUUUUUUUUUUUUUUUUAAAGGAAGGGAUCCGACCUGGUCAAAACAAACAAUAUAUUUGUGUGAUUUGUGUCUUCCCAAACACCCUGGCUGGUUUAGAAAUGGCAGAAGAUACUUUUAAUGAUGUCGCAGAGGAAGACUAGAGUGAAUUGUGGUGUUUGACAGUAUUUGAUUUAAUGACAUGUUCCUAAUCCACCUUAGAGUACAUGUAGGCUAAAUAUACAAAUAUGGAAGCACAAUAUCUUCAGAGUCCAACAAGAAUAUCAGUAGUUGUAACGUUCAAAUGUGACUGUAGUCACUUCAAUACAUGCAAUAGGUGCUCAUGGCUCACUGAUAGGGCGAAUAAACCAUUGUUUGUUUUGACCAGAUCAAAUCCCUUUACUUCCCUUUUUUUUUUUUUUUUUUUUUUUUUUUGUAAAUAUUGUCAGUGGUUAACGUGCUCUGAAUGACGGUUAGGACGUGGAUGACUGAACGAGUUUUUAUUGUUUUCUGAGUGACUAGUUUAAACAACGUGGUCUCAGUUUGUUCCGAUGCAUUUUAGCAAAUCAAGCUAAUUUUGUGCUGCGUGUUGUUCUGAUGGGAGGCUGCUGAGGGUCUGAGUGUUUCUGAGAACAAACCCGAGUUAAACCUGAAGUUCUGCUCUGGAUCUGUUCCACUGAACUCACAAACUAACACACAACACAGCAGUGGACGUGCUUCUAUGUUGUGGGAUUUAUUGGUGAGACAAUAAAUAGUUUUGUGACUCGUUCUUAACCAGGCAGCCUGUGUUAAGUUGUGAUUAUCCCCAGUUGACAUGGACGUGUUUCCUGAACAAUCACCAGGUGUUAAACACCUGACAAAAUGACAGUGCUCUAUGUAGAUGAAGCAGAAUGCUUGUAGAGCUGAUCGGUAGCACAAUGAGUAAAACAGUGGUCUCGUAAUUUUAUCGCUGGAUUACGUGGGUUCGAAUCCUCUCACCAACUUGAAAAAGUACGUGUUUUUUAUUUCGGCCCGCACGUUUCUUUUUACUGUCUGUAGAUGAUAUUUACAUGGAUAUAGACUUUGUUAAGUAGUGAUGCCGACGUUUUUCGGCGAGGUCUUCUUUAUCUGGUAUCUUUAUUUCACGUAAAUCCAGGUUUGACCGUGACGAAUCUGCGAACGAAACAUCUGGAGAGGGAAACUAUCGCCAGUUAACCUGAUCACCAGUCAAACUAUAACACCAGCUCACUGUGCUGCAUACAAUUACACACUACGUCAUACGAUUGAGACAAGGAAACUUGGAAUGACUUUUCAUAGGUUUCCCAGAGACUAUGGGUUGAGGAGGAAUUGGAAGUUUGUCAGCUUAGACCUGGUGUCAUUCCAUCAGUGUUAAACUUCCCGGCUCAUCUUGGAAGAGUACGUGCCAGAAAGACCACGACCAAGCAGCCUUGAGAUCUUAGGCAGCGUCUCCCUGAGGUCCCUCUCUAUCUCCCCACACAUCCACCAACCACUGGAACACAUCUCCAAAGUUCUGCCGGGCCAGCUCAGCUUCCCCUCAGAAGAAGUGCUGCCACCUGCCAGAUGAAGGAGCCUUUUGAGAGGCAGCUGGCAUCGUGAUUGGACUGUACUUUGGUCUGUUCCAAUCCAGCUUCAGCUCCAGAGACGGCAGGCGGGACGAGUCAACGGAGGCCUGGUGGACGAAGGCAUGCAGCUGAGUACAAUCCAGAAAACAACAGAGGAGGAGGGCAGGGCCAGAACAAACAGAGUAGCAUCGUAUGUCUCUUAGAAAACAUCAUAGUAGAGCCUUUGGUAUGAAAAAACGCCAUCAUAUACAUCGUAUAUUGUACAAAUAACAAGUCAAAGGAAAGAGACAUACAUUGUAGAAUUUUAGUAAUUGUGGGCUGACUGAUUUACUGAUUAUCAGUAUUUAAUUUUUUACUGAUUUACGGUAAUAAAUACAUUUAAAAAUGG